UUUUCGUUGUUCGUUUUGUUCUUAUUCGCUGACAUUUGUUUUCCAAUUGCGUGAAAUUUGGUCAUUUCCUUAGUGUUUCGCUGACCGACCUGUGCUGGUAUUGUGAUUAAGAGCUAAUACACAUUUUUCGGACGAUUCUGCUGUGCUGCGUUCCUGCUCCGCCUGUAUAUUGCUCCGCCCGUAUUUUAUAGUGUUGCGUUCCUGUUGCGCCUUUGCAUUAGUGUGUGCGUUGUGAUUUAGACACGAUGAAAUUUUUUGUAUGCUUCUGUUGUGCUGCGUUCCUGCUCCACCCGUGUAUUAGAUUGCUGCGUUCCUGUUAACAUACAUAUCGUCGCUUAAAGUACAAAACCGCG